rnacentral:lncRNA from 1 species
CCGAUUUCAUCUCCUUCGUCACCAAAUCUGAUACCAAAACUAUCUUCAAACCUAAAUCCAACAUCAACACCACUAAUCUACUCAUCCCCCGCCACCAAACCCAAAUCCAACGCUGUUGCAGCAAAACCAUUGAUCUACGAACCCAUAUCCAACGCUAAUAUACAAAACCACUGAGAGAGAGAGAGAGAGAGAGAGCAAAGGUGUGUGACGAAGAGAGAUGGAAAGACGAAGAGAGAUAUGGAGAAAGAGACGGGACAAGACGAAGAAAAAGACGGGAGAUGGUAGUGGCACACGGUGGUGGUCCAUGCUAUGUAGUGAGGUUUGGAGGUGGUUGUCGACAGCAUUUGCUGUGAUAAUGGUCCAUGCGUGGGGCAGAGAGCGAGAGAGAAG